GCACUUUUUUCGCACUGCUUUCAGAAACUUGUGUUUACAAUAACACUCGCACAUGGAAAUAUCAUGAAUAUUAGUGACAUGAACACCAUCUUCAGUAAUACUGAACAAACUGACAGUAUUUAACAUGUUUAAUGCACUUUACUCAGGGCAAGAGAUAAGUGUCGUUUUUACGAUUUGAAAUUUACAGAAAACUUUUCAAAUGAAAAACAAUCGUACAAACAACGAUUAUGUAAAUACAGAACAGAUUCUAAUCAGUUAAUAAUCUAUCCGCGCGUCCCGCGUUUAUCACGCACAGAUAUCGAAAUAGACGCAUUGUUUUAAAAUAUUUGUGUCCCAGUGGACGAUUGCUGAAAGGAAUCUGUUAACGCAUACGUUAAUCACGAUAAGUACGAACCCUCUUGGGUACGAGUUACGCUGAGUCUAACAGAAUCAGGCUUCAAUAAUGCAACAAGUCUUUUGAUUGGCUCUAGUUGAGUCCCAGCUGUAUACGAACCAAUUAGAAUCAAACUUUUGAAUAGUGUCGAAAUAGCGGCGCCAUAUUGGAAAAUUUGAUUAAGCUGGUAGCGUGAUCGAUAACCGUGAUUUCUUCAACAAUUACUUUAUAUAAACCUACAAAAACGAUAGCAAUCAAAUGAUUCAAAACAAUUAUGAAUAACAACAGAACUGGAAAUACCCGCGGGCGCGGGAGACCAAAGAAACGACAGUUUCAACAGAAAAAGGAAGGAAGACCAGAUGAUGUUGUUAAAAAGGAUAAGUAUAUGGUUUCUCAGUCUACCACACAGGAAAGUAUAGAAAUAUCCAAUGCUAAUACAAAUGUAAAUAAAACAACACAAAUUUUAACUUUACAAAAUUUGCUUACUCUUGGCCCAAUUAAUGUUUUGUCCGUCACA